GACGAACGCUGGCGGCGUGCCUAAUACAUGCAAGUAGAACGCAGUUGCGAACGGGUGAGUAACGCGUAGGUAACUGCCUCAUAGCGGGGGAUAACUAUUGGAAACGAUAGCUAAUACCGCAUACUGUGAGAUGGACCUGCGUUGUAUUAGCUAGUUGGUGAGGUAAAGGCUCACCAAGGCGACGAUACAUAGCCGACCUGAGAGGGUGAUGGGCCACAAUGGGACUGAGAAACGCACCAGACUCCGACGGGAGGAAGCAGUAGGGAAUUUUGGGAAAGGGAGGGAAGUAUGACCGAGAAACGCCGGGUGAGGGAAGAAGGUUUUCGGAGGGAAAAGCGUUGUUGUUAGAGAAGCGGUAAAAAACAAGAAAGGGACGGCUAACUACGGGCCAGAAGCCGCGGUAAUAC
rnacentral:rRNA from 1 species